GUAGGUAAGGCUCACCUAGGCGACGAUCCCUAGCUGGUCUGAGAGGAUGACCAGCCACACUGGAACUGAGACACGGUCCAGACUCCUACGGGAGGCAGCAUG
rnacentral:rRNA from 1 species